ACAACAUUCGGACUGUCGGUCUACCGAGCAAUAUCACCGGCUCGGCGGAAAAUCUUCCUAUCGUCUU
rnacentral:pre_miRNA from 1 species